UACGUAGGGUGCAAGCGUUGUCCGGAAUUAUUGGGCGUAAAGAGCUCGUAGGCGGUUUGUAGCGUCGGCUGUGAAAUCCCGAGGCUCAACCUCGGGCCUGCAGUCGAUACGGGCAAACUAGAGUGUGGUAGGGGAGACUGGAAUUCCUGGUGUAGCGGUGAAAUGCGCAGAUAUCAGGAGGAACACCGGUGGCGAAGGCGGUUCUCUGGGCCUGUACUGACGCUGAGGAGCGAAAGCGUGGGGAGCGAACAGG
rnacentral:rRNA from 1 species